rnacentral:rRNA from 1 species
UAAUACAUGCAGUCGAGCGAAUGAUGAAGAAGCUUGCUUCUUCUGAUUUAGCGGCGGACGGGUGAGUAACACGUGGGCAACCUACCUAGUAGAUUGGGAUAACUCCGGGAAACCGGGGCUAAUACCGAAUAAUUCAUUUCACCUCAUGGUGAGAUGCUGAAAGGCGGUUUCGGCUGUCACUACUAGAUGGGCCCGCGGUGCAUUAGCUAGUUGGUGGGGUAAUGGCCUACCAAGGCAACGAUGCAUAGCCGACCUGAGAGGGUGAUCGGCCACAUUGGGACUGAGACACGGCCCAAACUCCUACGGGAGGCAGCAGUAGGGAAUCUUCCACAAUGGACGAAAGUCUGAUGGAGCAACGCCGCGUGAGUGAUGAAGGUUUUCGGAUCGUAAAACUCUGUUGUAAGGGAAGAACAAGUACGUUAGUAACUGAACGUACCUUGACGGUACCUUAUUAGAAAGCCACGGCUAACUACGUGCCAGCAGCCGCGGUAAUACGUAGGUGGCAAGCGUUGUCCGGAUUUAUUGGGCGUAAAGCGCGCGCAGGUGGUUUCUUAAGUCUGAUGUGAAAGCCCACGGCUCAACCGUGGAGGGUCAUUGGAAACUGGGAGACUUGAGUGCAGAAGAGGAAAGUGGAAUUCCAAGUGUAGCGGUGAAAUGCGUAGAGAUUUGGAGGAACACCAGUGGCGAAGGCGACUUUCUGGUCUGUAACUGACACUGAGGCGCGAAAGCGUGGGGAGCAAACAGGAUUAUAUACCCUGGUAGUCCACGCCGUAAACGAUGAGUGCUAAGUGUUAGGGGGUUUCCGCCCCUUAGUGCUGCAG